CCAAUGUGACAUCCAGUGAGCUGGCCCUUACUGGCUCUGUCUAAAUGGCUUUUAGGAGCUGAAUGUCCUUGAGGCAUAUCACCUAUGAUGUCUGUUCCUUGCCAUGUCAUUGGAGAUUAAAACUACCCCUAGUACCUCACUGUAUGUGGGAACUGGUUUGGUGUAGUGCUCUGCAUAUUCCUUGUGCUUCCCAGAGUCACUAUGUGACCUUGACUGGAGGGAUAAACCAUGCAAUGAACAGUU